rnacentral:rRNA from 1 species
GCAAGUCGUACGAUCUUCGGAGAGUGGCAAAAGGGUGAGUAACGCGUGGGUAAUCUACCUUAAAGUUGAGGAUAACACCUCGAAAGAGAUGCUAAUACUGAAUGAGACUACAGUUGCUGUUGCAACAGUAGUUAAAGUUGAGGAUCCUUAGGGACUUAACGCUUUUAGAUGAGCCCGCGUCCUAUCAGCUUGUUGGUGAGGUAAUGGCUCACCAAGGCAUAUGACGGGUAGCUGGUCUGAGAGGAUGGUCAGCCACACUGGGACUGAGACACUGCCCAGACUCCUACGGGAGGCUGCAGUCGAGAAUCUUUCGCAAUGGGGGAAACCCUGACGAAGCGACGCCGCGUGAGCGAUGAAGGCCUUCGGGUUGUAAAGCUCUGUCACGAGGGACGAAUACACAAUGGUUAAUAAUCUGCGUGUUUGACGGUACCUCGAGAGGAAGCCACGGCUAACUCCGUGCCAGCAGCCGCGGUAAUACGGAGGUGGCAAGCGUUGUUCGGAUUUAUUGGGUGUAAAGGGCAUGUAGGCGGCUCUUUAAGUCGAUUGUGAAAUCCCUUAGCUCAACUAAGGAACUGCAAUUGAUACUGAAGAGCUUGAGUGCAGAAGAGGAAAGCGGAAUUCCAGGUGUAAGAGUGAAAUCUGUAGAUAUCUGGAGGAACACCAGUGGCGAAGGCGGCUUUCUGGUCUGCAACUGACGCUGAAAUGCGAAAGCUAGGGGAGCAAACAGGAUUAGAUACCCUGGUAGUCCUAGCCGUAAACGAUGGGCACUAGGUGCCGGGCGUUAAACCUCGGUGCCGCAGUUAACACAUUAAGUGCCCCACCUGGGGACUACGGCCGCAAGGUUGAAACUCAAAGGAAUUGACGGGGACCCGCACAAGCGGUGGAGCAUGUGGUUUAAUACGACGCUACGCGUGGAACCUUACCAGGAUUUGACAUGUACAUGAAAUCUUAUCGAAAGAUAGGCCCUCCCUCAAGGACAUGUACACAGGUGUUGCAUGGCUGUCGUC